AAAUUGAAGAGUUUGAUCAUGGCUCAGAUUGAACGCUGGCGGCAGGCCUAACACAUGCAAGUCGAGCGGUAGCACAGAGAGCUUGCUCUCGGGUGACGAGCGGCGGACGGGUGAGUAAUGUCUGGGAAACUGCCUGAUGGAGGGGGAUAACUACUGGAAACGGUAGCUAAUACCGCAUAACGUCGCAAGACCAAAGUGGGGGACCUUCGGGCCUCAUGCCAUCAGAUGUGCCCAGAUGGGAUUAGCUAGUAGGUGGGGUAAUGGCUCACCUAGGCGACGAUCCCUAGCUGGUCUGAGAGGAUGACCAGCCACACUGGAACUGAGACACGGUCCAGACUCCUACGGGAGGCAGCAGUGGGGAAUAUUGCACAAUGGGCGCAAGCCUGAUGCAGCCAUGCCGCGUGUAUGAAGAAGGCCUUCGGGUUGUAAAGUACUUUCAGCGAGGAGGAAGGCGUUAAGGU
rnacentral:rRNA from 1 species